rnacentral:rRNA from 1 species
AACGAACGCUGGCGGCAGGCUUAACACAUGCAAGUCGAACGCACCGCAAGGUGAGUGGCAGACGGGUGAGUAACGCGUGGGAAUCUACCCAGUUCUUCGGAUUAACACAGGGAAACUUGUGCUAAUACCGGAUACGCCCUACGGGGGAAAGAUUUAUCGGAAUUGGAUUAGCCCGCGUUGGAGUAGCUAGUUGGGGAGGUAAUGGCUCACCAAGGCGACGAUCCAUAGCUGGUCUGAGAGGAUGAUCAGCCACACUGGGACUGAGACACGGCCCAGACUUCUACGGGAGGCAGCAGUGGGGAAUAUUGGACAAUGGGCGAAAGCCUGAUCCAGCCAUGCCGCGUGAGUGAUGAAGGCCUUAGGGUUAUAAAGCUCUUUAAGUGGGGAAGAUAAUGACGGUACCCACAGAAGAAGCCCCGGCUAACUUCGUGCCAGCCGCCGCAGUAAAAC